AAAAAAACAAAAAAAAUACAAUGUGAGAAUAGAGAGAGAGUAGUAAGUGAAGAAGAGAAGGGAAAGAAGGGAAGUCUCAGACCUCAAGCUUAGGAGGAAAAUCACUACAAAUCCAAAUUUUUCAGGUAACAGAUGAGUCUUAGCCGUCGAGUGUCGAGGAUGGCUAUAGGAUGCUAUCUUCUUUUUCUGCUUUCAAUAAAUUAAAUCGCUCUGAUAGGAGGCCAAUUGGGAGGGGGACUCUUAUUUACAUUUUCAGUUAUUAUUACAUUAAAAGAAAAAAGAAACUAUUGUAAUUUCAGUUGUUUUUCCAUCUAGACUAUUGAACCAUGUUAUUCGUUUUAGUGAUUUUCAAUCCAGGCUUCAGGAUUCAUAA